rnacentral:rRNA from 1 species
AAAUUCAUAAAAGUUAUUUAAUAAAGUUUAAAGGACGCAGUAACCUUGACUGUGAUAAUGUAGCAUAAUCACUCGCCAUUUAAUUGAUGGAUAGUAUGAAUGGUUGAACGAAUAUUCCACUGUCUUAAAAAGAAAUACCAAAAAAUUAAAAUAAUAGUUAAGAUGCUAUUUAAAAUUGUAAGACGAAAAGACCCUAUAGAGCUUAACUAUAAUCUCUUUUAUCAAUAGAAAAAAAACUUUCAAAAAUAAAGAGAUUGGUAGUUUAGUUGGGGCGACUAUCUUUUAUAUAUAACAAAGAGAAGCAAAGUUAAUAAAAAACUUAUUGUAUAAUAAAUUAAUUUAACAAUUACAAAAGUAGGCUAUAAUGACCCGUUACAUACUAGUAAAAAUUAUAACGAUCAAUAAAUAAAAGCUACCUUAGGGAUAACAGGAUAAUUUCAUUUUAGAGAUCAUAUCGAAAAUGAAGUUUGUCACCUCUAUGUUGAAUUAAGAUAUCCUGACAAUGCAGAAGUUGUCAAA